AUUGAACGCUGGCGGCAUGCUUUACACAUGCAAGUCGAACGGUAACAGGCCUUCGGGUGCUGACGAGUGGCGAACGGGUGAGUAAUGCAUCGGAACGUACCCAGAGGUGGGGGAUAACGCAGCGAAAGCUGUGCUAAUACCGCAUGUGAUCUGAGGAUGAAAGCGGGGGACCGAGCAGCAAUGUUUGGCCUCGCGCCUUUGGAGCGGCCGAUGUCGGAUUAGCUAGUUGGUGGGGUAAAGGCCUACCAAGGCGACGAUCCGUAGCUGGUCUGAGAGGACGACCAGCCACACUGGGACUGAGACACGGCCCAGACUCCUGCGGGAGGCAGCAGUGGGGAAUUUUGGACAACGGGCGCAAGCCUGAUCCAGCAAUGCCGCGUGCGGGAAGAAGGCCUUCGGGUUGUAAACCGCUUUUGGCAGGAACGAAACGGUGUCCGCUAAUACCGGGCGCUAAUGACGGUACCUGCAGAAUAAGCACCGGCUAACUACGUG
rnacentral:rRNA from 1 species